rnacentral:lncRNA from 1 species
CCGUCAGUCAACUUAUUAGCAUACAAAAAAAUCACCUUAGAGAUUAGGAGGAUUUAGGAGAUGUAUACCAGGAAAUGGGGAUGAAGACCAAAUAUAUAUUUCACAAUAUCACAGGGAGAAAAACUUGAAUUUUACUUCAUCAGUUAUCCAUGCCUUCCAGUUUGGAACAGCACAGUGAUAAGAUGGAGAUAGAAAUGAGGAAGGAGAGAGAUAAACAGGCAACAAGAGACUUAAGUGACCUACUAUCCUGAUGCGUCUGCAACACCUGAAAAACAGUCGGGAUGGACCUGUGAGAAAUCAAGACAGAAAAUGUAAAAGGAUUCAGAGGACUCUGCCUCUCAGUCCUACUUGGGGUUUUUGUGCGUCUGUAUCUAACAUGCACGCACUUCUCUAAGUGUGUUGACCCAUCCAGAGGAUGUGUUGUCCGAGUCUGUCCAUGCAGGGAGCAAGAGAAGACGGGGUGACUAAGCUGGAU